GUCGAACGAGAAUCACUGGAAGGAGUUUUCGGACAACGGAAGGUGAGGACAGUGGCGGACGGGUGAGUAACGCGUGAGGAACCUGCCUUUCAGAGGGGGACAACAGUUGGAAACGACUGCUAAUACCGCAUGACACAUAGAGAUCGCAUGGUUUUUAUGUCAAAGAUUUAUCGCUGAAAGAUGGCCUCGCGUCUGAUUAGCUAGUUGGUGAGGUAACGGCCCACCAAGGCGACGAUCAGUAGCCGGACUGAGAGGUUGACCGGCCACAUUGGGACUGAGAUACGGCCCAGACUCCUACGGGAGGCAGCAGUGGGGAAUAUUGGGCAAUGGGCGCAAGCCUGACCCAGCAACGCCGCGUGAAGGAAGAAGGCUUUCGGGUUGUAAACUUCUUUUGUCGGGGACGAGUAGAAGACGGUACCUGGCGAAUAAGCCACGGCUAACUACGUGCCAGCAGCCGCGGUAAUACGUAGGUGGCAAGCGUUGUCCGGAUUUACUGGGUGUAAAGGGCGUGUAGCCGGGAAGGCAAGUCAGAUGUGAAAUCCACGGGCUUAACUCGUGAACUGCAUUUGAAACUACUUUUCUUGAGUAUCGGAGAGGCAAUCGGAAUUCCUAGUGUAGCGGUGAAAUGCGUAGAUAUUAGGAGG
rnacentral:rRNA from 1 species